rnacentral:rRNA from 1 species
GACGAACGCUGGCGGCGUGCUUAACACAUGCAAGUCGAACGAGUGGCGAACGGGUGAUUAAUACGUGAGUAACCUGCCCUCUUUUUGGGAUAAGCCUUGGAAACGGGGUCUAAUACCGGAUAAAGGGGGUUGGGCUGGUGGGCUUUCAGCUUGUUGGUGGGGUGAUGGCCUACCAAGUCGGUGACGGUAGCGGGCCUGAGAGGGUGAACGUGAACGUUGAGACUGGGCUACGGCCUAGACUCCUACGGGAGGCAGCAUUGGGGGAUAUUGCACAAGGGGCGAAAGACUGAUGCAGCGACGCCGCGUGGGGGAUGAAGGCUUUCGGGUUGUAAGCCUCUUUCGCUAUCGAAAGGGUAGGUGGAGAAGAAGCACCGGCUAACUACGUGCCAGCCGCCGCGGUAAUUC